CCAUUGUUCUUUUGUGGCAGAUAAAGCAUUAUUUAAAUCGCCUUUUUCUCUCUGGAUACACCGACUGUAUCAAUGGCGGCGCGGAGGUGCUUUCCGCGUUUAUCUGCUCAUUUUUGUAGCGGUGUUUGCCGACGUGAUUAUAUAAUCAGAUUUGGACUGGUCACUUUCUUGAUGUUCGUAUAGCGAUUAGCGUUGGAAGGUGUUUUGAUAGGAUGCGUUUGGAACUUUUCGUUGUGAACGGAAGUGGCGGAUUUCGGAUAUGUAUGCAUUUUUGUUGCGACGAGUUGGUGGCGUUGUUUGCCUACGUGAUUGUAUAAUCAGGUUUGGUCACAUCGAGAAUCUCGUGGAUUGUGUAUCUCGUUGUUCGCAUAUCGAUUAGCGAUUGAAGGUGAACUGGAGCGGCAGAUUUCGCCAAUGGUAGCUUGGCGUAGAUGGAUUAGAUGACGUACCAAAGUUAGGUUCAAUGGGCAACUCCGAAUUCUCAAAUCCCAUAGAUUUGUAUGCUGAUAUGCUCAAAGAGUUUUUGCGAUGCUUAUUUGUGAAAUAAUCUUGAGUUCACUGGCUGCAAAAUCAACAAGUCCCACGGUUAUAAUAAGAGCAAGGUUGAGCAUUGCCGACAUAGUGAAGUUUAGCAAAGUUUGGAAGGCCAUUGUGGCACUGGCAGGGAAUUCUUCAGUAAAGUUGAGGUGGUUGUGAUUUCAAUGCUCAAUGAUUAGGUAUUUUUGGCUAUUCAUUAAUACCUAUUUUUUGGCAUUGUUAAUUUUCUGGCCCGUUUUCCGAGUUCAUAGUUUUGUGGUUUUUUUUCAAGUCAGCAAAGUUAGACGGAGCAUAGAUUAAGCAGUGAACAAUAGUUUGCUAACUCACCAAAGUCACCAGAACCUUGUCAAAUAAACCUCUCUCAGUUGCUAGGUUUCAAAUUAUUCCUCAUCGGGUUUAGAGGAUUGCCAACUUGUUCUUUGAAUUUAGAGUGCUGACGGACCUAAUUCUAAAGGGCAUUAGGUUUUCCACAUUAGAACAAUUCCUUUAUAUUGAUCCUAACCCAACAAGAACAAAGCCUAAACUGGGAUCGUGAAAGCCUCUCGUUUUUUCCAACUUCAUAAUCUAGUACUUCCAAUUCGCUGGUUUUAUCCACAGCACAUUUUCCAUCUGGUCGAUGUGCUUUCUAUUUACCCUUUAUUCUGAAUCUUAUUUUUCAGUCCAAAACUGUCUGAGAUUAGAAUCCAGCAUCUUUGUUAAUUCUUCUUGUGAAAUACAGAGUAACACAUCUGCAGUACAAUAUCUAGGUUAUGAAUAUCCUUCUUCCCGUCUCUCUCUUAUAAUUAGAAACACUUCUUAUGUUCAAACUUCAAUCAUGGUUUGUAUAUUCACAACCAAAUACUAGUAUGCACACUUGCUCUCACAUUUGUUUAUUUGUGUAUUUAUAUAUAAUUUAUCCUACAAUUUGAUCAAUAGAUCUAUAUAUUAUCAUCUCAAUUCAAUCAUUGUUUGAUAGAAUAUGUACACACAAACAUAGAAAGCACACAGUUCAUGACUCCUUUCAGAAAUAACACAAUUUCUUUCACCCCCUCAGGACACAAACCAACACAAUAAUCUGUUUUUAAGUCGGUAUCUAGUGUUUCUUUACCACUCCUCAUAAAUGCUCCAUCCUUGAAGAUUAAUAGUCUUUGCUAAAGUAGUUGUAGGCUGCUGUAAAAAAGGAUUGUCCUUAGAAGAGCGGGGAAGAUGAGUAAAUCAUUUUGACGAACUUUUGAACUUAGAGAUGAUAAAUUCGUUACCCAAAUUUAGCUGGUGCUGGCAUGUUAUUAUUCUUUUCCUCCGGCUGGCAAAGCUGAAGACAGACAGGUGCAUUCGGAUCCUCGUUGAUGCUAAGGCUUGUAGUAAUAAAUGAAUUGCUGUCUGUUCCUGUCGUGUCACUUGUGCCGUAUAGCUGAAAUAUAAAGCAUUUUUAUAACGUGUCAUAGGUCUUCUUAUGCGUGAGUGUGUGCAUUUAUUUGGAUGAAUUAGGUUUACCCUUUUAUGCAGCUCCAAAUUUUCUUGCUGGAUCAAGUUUUUCUGUAACAAAAUCGCGAAGAAAAUUAGCUUGUCAUGUAGAGUAGUACCAUAUUUGGUUAAGCUUAAUGCAUGUAACUAACAAUCUUGUGCAACCUUUCGACUCAAUUCCUGUAUCUCAUCAGUGAAAACCUGGUCCUACAAAGAGUCGAAAUUAAUGUCAAUAAUUCAUUUAUACAUGAAUCCGAGAUUUAAUCUUGUUAUCAAAUUACUGUCGGAACCUUCCUCUUUCUGACACCCUGGAGACUAUUCUCCAAUUGGUUCUCCAGAUUCUGUAGUUCUGAGACAUUCAAACUGGUAAGCUCCUCACCCAUCAGAUGACUGCUAUGACGAUAAAUGCUAUUAGUAUCGUAUUAGGCAGGUAUUUGAAUACCACUUUAUGAUACUUCUGAGUUUCUACCCAAAAAGUUCAAAUGUAAAGUAACCGAAGAUCUAUUGUAUACAAGAUAUAUGUGUUCACAUAUAAAUACCGCAAAUUUAUUUACUACUGCAUAAUAUUAAAUUUAUUCACCAUCUAUAGAUAAUUCUUGUUGUGGAAAUUAGUACUUUUUCUUCUUUUUUUUGGUAUGACUUGAAUACCAAUUUAUUGCUUGUCGAAUCUUUAAAAACCCAAUUUAGUUCCUGUACGUAAACUUCAUUGGUAGUAAACAUUCAUGGUGAUAAUAAUGUUAUAGUCAUAGUCAUAGACUCAUAAAGCAUACAGUUGUUUGGAUAAUACUUGAGUUUAGGUUUAAGAAAAAAACCUCUGAACUCGUCGCAACAAGCAAAUGCAUUGAAAAAUCUUUUUCGCUAUUUCUUGUAGACAUAAACCUAAACUAUUAUAGAAAGACUUGUGGAAACGGGGCUUGCUGAACCCCAGCUUCGACUAGAGCUACUCCUUGAAAAGUUUAGUGACAAUUAGUCGCGAUGCAGCAAUUUUAAUUAGACUGAGGCUUGCCUAGGUUAAGUGAUUAUUCAAUUGUUACCUAUAUCUGAAUUCCAUGGUAACUAAUACUUCUUUGCAGAUAUAUUAUUGCAUUCAAACAUACAUACAGUCAAAAUCAAUACUAGAAAUAAGCUACGAAUGGUGUCUCGGUAUUUUAAGAACUUUUAUUUAGAUAAUGUAAUCCUCGUAAUGAAUUAAUCAAUACUCCAUCAAUAAAAGUUAAGAAUAUUUGACAUAUAAUUAGCUAUGGGGUUACUAUUUCCCGAUGCCUACAAUUAAAAGUCUCUUCAUCACAACUUAAGUCUCUUCAUCACAACUUCAUUGGCAAAUAUUUCAUACUUCAAAUUUCUACCAAUGUGAGAAAUAUAGAAAAAUAAAUCCUUAGAAUUGAAGAAGAGGAAGAAGUCAAAGUGGGGAAUUGCUUUGCUAUGUAUUCAACACAUCACAUUCACAUAAUGCCUUGGAGACAGGAAUCUAGAAUUGAGUCCCAUAAUGAUACAUUAUUUUCUUUCACAAAACAUUAUAUCAAAACUAAAACACACAA